rnacentral:tRNA from 1 species
GCCGAGGUGGUGAAAUUGGUAGACGCGCCGGACUCAAAAUCCGGUAGGGGCAACUCUGUGGGGGUUCGAUUCCCCCCCUCGGCACCA